UGGGGAAUAUUGGGCAAUGGGGGCAACCCUGACCCAGCAACGCCGCGUGAAGGAAGAAGGCCUUCGGGUUGUAAACUUCUUUUAUGAGGGACGAAAGAGAUGACGGUACCUCAUGAAUAAGCUACGGCUAACUACGUGCCAGCAGCCGCGGUAAUACGUAGGUGGCGAGCGUUGUCCGGAUUUACUGGGUGUAAAGGGCGCGUAGGCGGGGGAGCAAGUCAGAUGUGAAAUCCCCGGGCUUAACCCGGGAACUGCAUUUGAAACUGUUUUUCUUGAGUGAUGGAGAGGCAAGCGGAAUUCCUAGUGUAGCGGUGAAAUGCGUAGAUAUUAGGAGGAACACCAGUGGCGAAGGCGGCUUGCUGGACAUUAACUGACGCUGAGGCGCGAAAGCGUGGGGAGCAAACAGG
rnacentral:rRNA from 2 species